rnacentral:rRNA from 1 species
ACUUGGGCUCUUUAGGUAGUAUAAAAACUUAAACCCACGCGUAAUGGCAGUUUCAAUUCUCUAGAGAAACUCGCUUUAUAAUCGUCAAUACCCGUUAAAUUUCACUUAAUUUUAUAGCCUAUAUACCGCCGUUAAGAAUUUUUAUGCAACAUAAAUCUAUCUUUAUAACAUUACCCAAAAUCAGGUCAAGGUGUAGCCAACAAUUAAGAAAAAGUAAGUUACACUAAAAACAAUUUAAGGAACAAUAGUCAAAAGACUAAAAGAAAUAGAAUCUAGCUUCACAUUUAUAUUAAAAUUAUAAAUAGAAACAAAAAAUAGAAAUGU